GAUGAACGCUAGCGGGAGGCUUAACACAUGCAAGUCGAGGGGUAAAUGGUAGCAAUACUAUGAGACCGGCGGACGGGUGCGUAACGCGUAUGCAACAUACCUUGUGCAGGGGGAUAGCCCGUGGAAACGCGGAUUAAUAUUCCAUAGUCCAGCUAUAUCGCAUGGUAUAGUUGGUAAAGAUUUAUCGGCACAAGUUUGGCAUGCGUCUGAUUAGCUUGUUGGUAGGGUAACGGCCUACCAAGGCUACGAUCAGUAGGGGUUCUGAGAGGAUUAACCCCCACACUGGUACUGAGACACGGACCAGACUCCUACGGGAGGCAGCAGUGAGGAAUAUUGGUCAAUGGGCGGAAGCCUGAACCAGCCAUCCCGCGUGAAGGAAGACAGCCUUACGGGUUGUAAACUUCUUUUCUGUCAGAAGAAUAAGCUUGUCGAGACGAGUGAUGCCGGUAUGACAGGAAUAAGCAUCGGCUAACUCCGUG
rnacentral:rRNA from 1 species